UAUAAAUCUGUUAGAUCUGAAACUCCUGCUAAAAAACUUCCUCUCUACAACUCUUUUCUCUUCUCUCCCUCUUUCUCUCAGUUGGGAUUCUGUGUGUGUAUGUGUGCUGGAGAAAUAAAAAAAAGGAAAAGGGUCUCUCUCUCUGUCUCUGUGAGAGGAAAAAGGUGGGGGCCGAGUGAGCCCGCGGGGCCGAGCGGGUCCGCGGGAGCGAGCGUGUAUGCUGUAUGAGGAAGAAGGGAGUGAGAGGGAGCGAGUGAAAAGAGUAAUCGAGUAUUUGGUGAUUUUUUAUUAUUUCAGAGGCACUGGUGUCUUCAUACAGGUGUUUUUUCUUAACCUGGAAGCCUGAGUACGGCAGCAGAAGACAGGCCAAGCUUUGGCUAAAAUUCACGGCUGGACACCAGAGUUGUCCUCACCCCUCCCGGUAAAACAAAAAAGAGAGAAUGUAGUUUGAGGCAGGUUUUUCUCGCUGAACUGCUCUGGGUGCUGUGUCCCUGAAUCUCACCAGUGUUAACCUCUGGCGGAAGACAUGGAGAAAAGGAAAAGAUGUUCCUGGUAAAUCACUGAAACAAAUAAAACCACACACAACCAGAGAAAGAUAUGAGAAGGGUGAGGAACAGACACAUGUGCGUGUUAGAGAAAUGCCUCGUUUGAGAAAAAGUUAAAGUAACCCAUAUACAGACGCACCCAUACAUGCAAUGAAGAAACAGCUUACAUACAUGUGCACGUACAUGCAAGGUUAAAGUAGCGACACUUAACAUACACCUGUUUUUAAAUGAUAUAGUUUAUACAUUACUGACAAUUAAACGCUUUGGGUUGCAGGACAACAACGUAACGUCAAAAGACAAAGACACUGGUCUGAGGAUUAAGUGAGGACACGACAAAUUUAGUGGUUAAAAGGGUCGACUUGGGACAUGUUUUUGUUGAUUGUUUAAGACAAAUGACUACUGAAUGAUAGGAAAUUCCUUUUUAGGUUUCUAAACAGGAUCUUAAGAAUUUUAACACGUACCUGUGUUGUCCUGUCAACUUGAGGGGUUAUGAGUUGAUUAUAUGGUGAAAAAAAAAAAAAACAAAAACAAAGAAGGGGGGAGACGAGAUCUCGUUGUUUCUCCCCUCUCGGGAUAACACAGCCAACACAGCACAGCCAACACAACAUCAUUUUCCUGUUCGCCUGUUUUGUUUUGUUUUUGUUUUUUCUGAGAGCCGAAGCUGACCUGGACUCCUACCCUCCCCUCUACCAUCGUUGCCCUCUCCGCGACCAUCUUUGACCCUUUGACCCCUGAAGGCCACAGCAGCUGGACUCACAACAACAACUUGAGGAUGUCAACAGUGCUGCAAAAGAGUGAUCUCAUGCAGCAGAGACGGAGAGCACUAAACCUAACGCCCGUUUCACUACACGGGGGAAAUUCCCAGGCUGCGUCAGCUGACAGAGCUGUGACGAGACGCGCAUUAAGCCCGGAGGAAAAGGGACGGUGAGCAGAAGGAUGCUGACCUCUGAGAAGAGCCGAACAGCAGAGCUGCAGAAGGCCGUGGAGCAAAGUAAGGACAACAUAAACAGACUCCAAUCUGACGGAAACACACACAUGAACACUUAUGCACUUGUUGAGGGAGUAAAAACUGAUACAUACCCAUGCACUAAAAUCAAAAUGUUGAUUUAAUUUACUAAGAAGUGACACACAAUGCUCCAGCUGCUGCAAUGAAGAAUGCUUUACUGACAAAGGCUCAAUGCUGCACACAACAAAGUCAAAUACAGAAUUUGCUAUAAUAAUAAGCCCAGAGGGCAUUUGUGUGGUCUGGGGAGCAGAGUCCGGAGCGGUUUGGUUAUGAAAAUGAUGCCCGUGCGAGAUAUCUGGGGCUUAAGGCCUCGACUUAAUUGUUUACUCUACACUAAAAAGAAAAGAAAACACUCUGAGCAGUGGUGCAGAGUGAAAACGAGGAAUUAACAGUGUGAGUUUUAUUUCAGAGCGCCACGUCAUUGUGAUGGAGAUUUAAUAAAGGAGGAACACACGGACAAAGAAGAAGAGAAGGGGGGGCAGCCCUUGAACGCGAUUGCCUGAGGCAUUAAAAUCUGCACAUCGGAAAUUACAAGCAUUACACGUCGGCGAGAAAAUUGUUGUAAGUGAGUUUCUCCGCAUUGAAAUGGGUUCUGGAGGAAACACUUGUGGGGACAAUUAGAAACGAGAGUCCCUGUUUAAAAAAGGAUUCAGCGAGGUAAUCCAAACUCAAGUUCUUGUUUCUUUCUGAGAUGACGUCAUUUUGCUGAGUGUGGAAACUAGAUGCGACGACAGGUUUCACUAUCAGCAAAGAACGGAUGAAUGCAUGAAAG
ensembl:lncRNA